GGGGGCAGUGCUCAGUGGUAGAGCGCAUGCUUAGCAUGCAUUAGGUCCUGGGUUCAAUCCCCAGUACCUCCU
rnacentral:tRNA from 1 species